UAUUUUCCUUGAUUUUUUUGUUCUGCCUUGAUGUGCAUUGGAUCCUCAGUGGUUGGGUUGUACUGUUACAUGAAAAGAAUCCAUGUGUUGAAAGCAUUGAGCUUAAUUUAGAUAUAUUGGGCCUAUGCACUCUUUACCUACCAUGUAAUAUUAUCUGCAUAACAAACAAACUCCACUACUUACCAGUACCCUGCGCAUCCACAAGGAAACCUCACCGAUCAAGGCCACCAGGCACACUUGGUUUACGUAUAAUUAUGCAACCCUAGAGACAUGUGCUAGCCAACAGACCAGUUAAUGAUGUUUCCUUGGUUAAUGGCCUGCUUGGAUGCUUGUGUGCUCUCCGAUUACUCAACUGCUUGCCUAUUUUGUUUACUAUGGUGAUGCUGGUGGGAUCUUUCAGUACUAAUGAUAAAGAUUUUUAACUUCUGAUAAAUCCGCCCAUUUCCACCUAUUAUUUUUAUAGAUAUGUCACUGAUUCACAUCCCUUGAAUUGUUUUUUUCUCACUGCUAGAUCAAUUAUGUGCUGCUUCUGUGAGCUUAAGCCUCUAGACCACAAGAGACUCUUUUGAUCGAUAUAGAGUUGAAGUCUUUUAAUUUGCAUACAGUAAAGCUGCUGGGUUCCUCAUUCAUAUUUGGGUCCACCUAUUAUUUGUUUCUAUUGAUUUAUAAGUUAUACUAAUGAGAUGUUCAUUAAAAAAAUAGUUCCAUGACUUCAGAUAAUUGAUCGAGAAUAGUGCUAAUGAAUUGUUUUGGCUUCCUAUGCAUUAAAGAAAUAGUUCCAUGACUUAUAAUUGCAUCAUCUGAUCCAUUAAUAUAGACAAGUAGAUAAUUUGUUCCUUGACUUGCUCUGUUUGGAACCUUCUCUUCGCUGUUUUGGUGGUGAAUGUUGAGGUGGUCCAAGCUCAAAACAGAAAAACAUUGUAGGUGGUCCUAACUCAAAACGGAAAAAAUGUCCAGGUGGUCCUUUUCCAUGUGCUUGUGCUUGAUAUUCGUUUUUAACUGUGCAAUGUUUCUUUUUUCGAAUGAGCUGGAAUGUACUAUCACUAUAGCACUGGGUUAUGUUAAUUGAAAAUCUUUAAAUGUGAGGAUGUGUAUGUCCAUGAGCAGGGUUACAAGUAUGCUAAAUUACUAAUCAUCCGCCGAAUUUAGUGAACUUGCUUUUUACCCGACAGCCUUCUAUUUCUGUCAUCCUAUUAGUUGAAGUGUUCCAAAUUUUGAGUAGACAACUUAUUUACCUUUGUUAUUUUGUGUUCUGUGGAUGGAAGGGAACAAUUCUUUCUGUAUGAGUGUGACCCUGCCUGCAGAGUAAAAGGUCAUGGUGACAACGCCGCUUGGACUGCUUCUGGACGUCCACGGUGACACCAGGCAGUUCCAAAGCCAACCUGAGCUCCUCCUUGUGGUGAUGUUAGCCGGCGAGCUUCCUCUACCUCCACUCUAUGUGGAUGUCAGCCGAUCCGUGUGUCGCAACAUGCAAGCAAAUCAAAUGAAGGAGUGUGGACAAAGUUAUAUAUCAAGCAAAUCCGUGCGUCACAACAUGCAAGCAAAUCAAUUAAUCAAAUGAGUGUGGACGAAGUUAUAUAUCAAGCAAAUUGGAUGAAGGCGUGUGGACAAAGUUAUAUAUCUAAUGGUCAACCAUGUAGUUUACUAUAGUAUUAUGCAGUAUAGAAAACAAUGUAAAUAAGUUAGGUGGGACUAAUACUAUGGCCUGCUUUUGGUUUCUAUCAUACCAAACCUUGCUUAAGUAUUUCAUGUCACAUUUAUAACAAAUGCGCGAAUGGCAUGUAGAUAGGGUCAUUUUUUAGAUAUUUUACGGGAUGAUUACUGUUGUGAGUAUCUACCAUCACCUACUCUUUGAGUAAUAUCAGAUAUAUUUCCAUCA